rnacentral:rRNA from 1 species
UACGGAAGGCAGCAGUGGGGAAUAUUGCACAAUGGGCGCAAGCCUGAUGCAGCCAUGCCGCGUGUAUGAAGAAGGCCUUCGGGUUGUAAAGUACUUUCAGUCGUGAGGAAGGUGUUAAGGUUAAUAACCUUAGCAAUUGACGUUAGCGACAGAAGAAGCACCGGCUAACUCCGUGCCAGCAGCCGCGGUAAUACGGAGGGUGCGAGCGUUAAUCGGAAUUACUGGGCGUAGAGGGCACGCAGGCGGUUAAUUAAGUUGGAUGUGAAAUCCCCGGGCUUAACCUGGGAAUGGCAUUCAAGACUGGUUAGCUAGAGUCUUGUAGAGGGGGUUAGAAGUUCCAUGUGUAGCGGUGAAAUGCGUAGAGAUGUGGAGGAAUACCGGUGGCGAAGGCGGCCCCUGGGACAAAGACUGACGCUCAUGUGCGAAAGCGUGGGGAGCAAACGAGGAUUAGGAUA